AACGAACGCUGGCGGCGUGCCUAACACAUGCAAGUCGUGCGAGAAAGUUCCUUCGGGAGCGAGUAAAGCGGCGCACGGGUGAGUAACACGUAGGUAACCUGCCCCCCAGUCUGGAACAACUAGAGGAAACUCUAGCUAAUGCCGGAUGAGACCACGAUCCCUUCGGGGGUUGCGGCCAAAGAUGGCCUCUACUUGUAAGCUAUCGCUGAGGGAUGGGCCUGCGGGCCAUUAGCUUGUUGGUGAGGUAACGGCUCACCAAGGCUGUGAUGGCUAGCUGGUCUGAGAGGAUGACCAGCCACACUGGGACUGAGACAGGCCCAGACUCCUACGGGA
rnacentral:rRNA from 1 species